AUUCUUAUAGUUUAAAAAACAUUUUAUUUUCAUUAAAAAAAUGAUAUUAUAAUAUAUCUAUGAAUA
rnacentral:tRNA from 1 species